GAGGGUAUAGCUCAGUGGUAAAGUGCAUGCUUAGCAUGCACAAGGUCCUGGGUUCAAUCCCCAGUACCGCCA
rnacentral:tRNA from 1 species